rnacentral:rRNA from 1 species
UACAGAGGUCUCAAGCGUUGUUCGGAUUCAUUGGGCGUAAAGGGUGCGUAGGUGGCGCGCUAAGUCGGGUGUGAAAUUUCGGAGCUUAACUCCGAAACUGCAUUCGAUACUGGCGCGCUUGAGGACUGGAGAGGAGACUGGAAUUCAUGGUGUAGCAGUGAAAUGCGUAGAGAUCAUGAGGAAGACCAGUGGCGAAGGCGGGUCUCUGGACAGUUCCUGACACUGAGGCACGAAGGCCAGGGGAGCAAACGGG